rnacentral:rRNA from 1 species
ACUACGUGCCAGCAGCCGCGGUAAUACGUAGGGGGCAAGCGUUGUCCGGAAUUAUUGGGGCGUAAAGCGCGCGCAGGCGGUCUCUUAAGUCUGAUGUGAAAGCCCACGGCUCAACCGUGGAGGGUCAUUGGAAACUGGGGGACUUGAGUGUAGGAGAGGAAAGUGGAAUUCCACGUGUAGCGGUGAAAUGCGUAGAUAUGUGGAGGAACACCAGUGAGCGAAGGCGACUUUCUGGCCUAUAACUGACGCUGAGGUGCGAAAGCGUGGGGAGCAUAACAGGAUUAGAUACCCUGGUAGUCCACGCCGUAAACGAUGAGUGCUAGGUGUUCAGGGGUUUCGAUGCCCUUAGUGCCGAAGUUAACACAUUAAGCACUCCGCCUGGGGAGUACG